UGCAAUCCUCCUGCCUCAGCCUCGCCAUACCUGGGAUUACAGGUGUGCACCACCACCCCUGGGUUCCCAGGUUUCUCUGUGCGGAGCCUCACCGAGCCACUCUGGGCUUGUUCGUACUUGCCUGGGAAACCAGAGUCUAGCCUCCCUAUCAUGACCCCGCUAGGCCUGAGAAAAGCGCUUCAGGUAAUGGUAGGGACCACGUGUCACCUAUGAGCAUGAUGUUGCUCCCACCUGUGCUCAUCAUCAUCCCCAUCCCCCAAGCAAACACCUUGACACCUCGGCUGAUUCCUUCACUUCUUGUGCCUCACGGCUAAUUCAUCAGCAGAUCCUAUCAGCUCUACCACCAGGUACAGUUCUAAUCAGUCGGUUUUCACUAUCUAUGGCUGCUCCACCCUCGUCCAAUGUACCAUGAUGUAAAACAUUCCAAACAAGGGCUUCCCAUCACCCUUAAUGAGAUCCUCCAGCUCUCUGUUCUGACCUUUAAGACCCUGUGUGUUCUGGUCCCUGGGGUCUCCCUGCCCACCACUUGUCUGGUUCCACCAUGGAUUUUGGCUUUAGCACACAGCUUUCUGCUUGUCAAAUCACCCAGUUGGCUCUCAUUUCCAGGCCCCGCUGUUCCCUAAUCCCAUGGCUCACUACUUCCCAUCAGGCAGGCCUUAGCUGUCAUCGCAUCUCUGCAGAGAGCCUUUGCCCAAUGCCCCAUUUAGAACAGGGCUCCUCCCCCUCCUGCUCUGCACCAGCGCAGUAUCCUGUCACCUGUCUUCAGAGCACAUAGUGCCCUAAGAUUUUUCUGUCUUUCUUUACUAAUUUACUGGUUUUACUGAUUACCUGUCCCUCGCCAGCUCCAAUGCAAACCACCUGAGGACAGACAGGUUGAACCCAGGGGCACUUAACCACUGAGCCAGAUCCUCAGCUCUUUUUAAUAUUUUAUUUAGAGACAGGGUCUCACUGAGUUGUUUAGCGCCUCAUAGUUGCUGAGGCUGGCUUUGAACUCACAAUCCUCCUGCCUCAGCCUCCCAAACAGCUGGGAUUACAGGUGUGCACCACCGUGCCCAGCCCCAUCCCAGUAUUUUAUUUAGAGAUAGGGUCUUGCUCAGUUUCUUAGGGCCUUUCUAAGUCACUGAGGCUGGCUUUGAACUAGUGAUCCUCCUGCCUCAGCUCCCCAGAGCCACUGUGCCACCACUGUGCCCAGCUGUCCGGUUCUCUUGAGUGUCCUCAGCACCACUAACAAGAGAUGCUCCAUAGAAACAUUUUUGAGGAAUGAGUGAUGUUAACAAUCUAGUUAUCUACCCUAACACUUACACCAAACUCAAGGCCCAUAAAAUUUUGUAGUAGUCCUGGUUUGAAAAUAAUUUGGUGAAAAAAAAAAAAGUUGGAGUGCACACACCACCAUGGAUGAACUCUAGAAAAGGUAUCCAAGUGAAAGAACUCAAUCCUAAAAGGCCAUGUGUUGUAUGAUUCCAUUUAUAUGAAAUGUCCAGAAUGGGCAGUCUAUAGAGACAGAAAAUGAAUCAAUGGAUGCCUGGGGCAGGAUGGGGAAUGGGAGUAUGACUACUAAUAGGGGCUUUUUAAUUAUUUAUUUAUUUGGUAUUGGGGAUUGAAUCUCAGGAUGCUUUACCACUGAGCUACAUCCCCUUACUUUUUGAGACAGGGUCUCACUAAAUUGCUGAAGCUGGGUUUGAAGUUGAGAUCCUCCAGCCUUAGCCUCCUGAGUAGCUGGGAUAACAGGCACAGCGCCACCAUGCCCCACGAAUACAGACUUUCUUCUCGGAGUGAUGCAAAUGUUCUGAGGUUGGGUAGUGGUGAUCGUUGCACAAUUCUGUGAACAUACUAAAACCCACGCAAUUAUAUUCUUUAGAAAGGUGAAUUUUGUGGUGUGUGAAUUAGAUCUCAAUAUACCUGCUAUUUUUAAAAAGUUAUUAUAUGAUUGAAGUAGUGCCCAAACAGUAAAAAGAGGGAUUAACAAUGCAAUCUAAAUGGCAACUGAUGAGCUGCUGCUAAUGGAUGACUUUCCAGAUAUUUGGCUGCCAGGAUGCAUAUGUAUAGACAGUUACUGUCAAACCUGAGAUCAAAUCUGCAGACCAUGAUAUUCUCCCUUGGGAACUUGGGAUAAACUUUGGAGUGAGUCUCUCCAGAAUCAUGCUCUGCGAAGGUAAUCGGGGGUGGUGAACACCCAGAGCACUAACCCUUUAACCCUUUAACCCUGCCUAAGAGUGCAUGUGUGGACACUGCGUGCCUUGCUUAACAGUCCCCUGGGAGAGGCCACCUCUUCUAGGAAGGUUUUGGCUCACCCACACCAUGUAGACUACCCCCACCGCCUCUCCAAGUCCUUCACUGAUUUUUUUUUUGGGGGGGUGGAGUAGUAGUAGUAGUAGUAGUAGUAUUUUCAUUUUUCUAGUCAUUUGUUUUUAUUAUGUUUUGAAACAGGUUAGAAGUUAAAAACAAAACAGCAAAGCCGCCGGGCACGGUGGUGUACUCCUGUAAUCUCAGCGGCUCGGGGGACUGAGGCAGGAGGAUCACGAAUUCAAAGCCAGCCUCAGCAACAGUGAGGUGCUAAGCAUCUCAGUGAGACCCUGACUAUAAAUAAAAUACAAAAGGGCUGGGGACGUGGCUCAGUGACCAAGUGCCCCUGAGUUCAAUUCCUAGUACCCCCCACCAAAAAAAAAGAAAGAGAGAGAGAGAGAGAGAGAAAACAGAGCAAAGCAAAACAAAAUUGGUCCUUGACGCCAAGCUCUUGAAGCAGCUCUGGGCUGGAAGGGCUUGGCUGGUCAUCAGGCUCCACCCCGCUACAUACGACUGGGCUCUGGGGGAGUGACCUAACCUGUGUGGCUCUUCAGCUUCCUCAUAAAUAAAAAGGGAUAAUAAUAGCUCCUACCUGAAAGGGUUGUUCCAAGAAUUAGAUGAAAGAACAUAUGUAAAACACUUCUAGACUAAGAGCUGCUGGCUCUUCCCGCCCUGAAGUUCCCCUCUGACUCUGGGAUGACGUGUGCUAGAGACAAGGAGAAACCCAGGGGAGUCAGAGAUGUGGGGCAAUCAUGCCUGCAGACAGGUGGAGCCGCGGGACUGGGGCAUCAAAGGACAGUGAGGGAGUUGGAAAGUCCCCUCUAGAGAGGGCAGUAUGGACGGAGGAACUGGGUCUCCAGUGUGCCUUUGCUUAGAAAUGCAACUAACCUGGGAAGGGGACCAGAAUACCAGAAUAUGUUACCCCAAACCAUGCCACUGAGGCAUAAGGAGUGUCUUGAGCUGAAGGAAUUUGAGAAAUGGCAGACCCAGGAGGAGGCUCCCCCUAAUCUGCCUAGAAGCAGGGCAUACAUUUCCCUUGGCAAAAGUGACAUAAAUUUCCCUCACCAGGUGUCUACCAGUGGGAGGAGAGCGACACUUACCACCAGGGUCAGAGAUGGCACCAAGAUGAGUCUGCAUCAACAGGCCGUAUUAAAUCAUUCUUCUCGGUCAUGGGGUGUGACUCGGGGGUAGAGCACGGGCCCAGCAUGUGCAAGGCCCUGCGUACGAUCCCAGCACAGCAAAAACUAAAUAUGUAAACAAAUAACCCUUAUCUAUUGUUAGUGUCCCCCCCCGAAAUAUUUACCUUCUCACAACUGACCAG
rnacentral:lncRNA from 1 species